CCAGGAUCCACCUCUUCCCAGCCCUCAUUUAAGGGUUGGCAGUGGAGGUGAGGGUUUCUUACUGAAGAUCCCUGCCUACAUGAGGUCUUCUAAAGGACUGCAGCCCAUGGAGAGAGAGCCUGAGAAGGAGUAGAGAAGUAAGGAGUGAAAGGAUGUGAAAGUAAGGAGCACUCCCAUGUGCUGAUCUCACCUCCUGUACCACCGGCAUUAGGGGUGGAAGACUCCACACUGAAGCUGAGAUGGGAAAGGGAAUAUAUGUGCUGCUGACUCUAUUAGUGGCCUUCAGUAUCUCUUCAUCUUAAACAACACUGGAGAGAAGUUGUACGGCACUACAAAGGCUGAAAGUGCUAUGUUAGUAAUUGCUUCAAGAAUACUAUUUGCCUUCUGCCAAGAGAAAGAUGUUUUUAGGUAUCAGGUUGUCUCCUACACCAUUACAGUUGUUUUAUUUCGUCCCACUAAAGAUGGAUUCAUAAGGAGGAUGCUCUGUGAUUGGGGUGUUUGGGAGUAAGGAUACCACAUGUCUGUUUUGAAAAAAGAUGUGGCAGAAAGGCCAAUAGGAGUCUGAAGUGCACGUCCACAAAUGAGUUUGAAGACAUCGCUAAGACGCGGAAGCAGGCUGAAAGCAGGCAAAACAAAUGGCCUGGGUGGAAGCUGGAGGGACCUUCAUUACUGCAGCUUCAGAAGAUCAAAAUGGUGCACAGUAGAAGAGGCAGGAAGACUGAAAUAUUUUGGUACAACUUGGGAAAUUUCUGCCCUUUGAAUAAUUUCCUUAAAUAAUCUCAUCUCCAACUAUGUGUUUUUAGUCCAGAAACUUCCAACAGCUUUUUACGUUGACUAAGUUUUACACAGCCUCACUGACCUCUUUGAUCUGCUUCUUGUGGCCAGCUCCAUGGGUCUCCAGGAUAAGCCUCCUCGACCUCACACUCCACAACCACAACCUUUGGCAGUGUUGAGUCUUCUCCCAGACAUCCCUAUUCUAUUCCAGAAUUCAGCAGCCAAGAAAACAGGAACAGUGUAUCUUCUGCUGACGAACUCUUUUCUUCCAUAAAUGUAGAUACUGUUGCAUUUCAUAAGUAUAUCUGAGUGCAGAGAUUCAUAGUUUAAAUCCAGCACAUACACUAAAUACCUAGCUAAACUCUAGAAGUAGGAAUAUAGCCUUGGAGAGAUCAAAAUUAAGCUAUCCCCUUUAUCAGCGUUGUCAGAGCCUGUGAUGGAUGUAUUAUUUCCUGGUUUGGUCACCGUGUUUCAAAAGAAGAUGGGAGAGAAUCUUCAGCAAAGAACAGAAUAAUGGCAACGAUCAGAAAUGGAGAAAACGUGAGGGAAUUUUUUAAUUGCAUAAAGGAGAAAGGAAUACUUUUCAGGGAAGGGACAGGAAAAAGGAUGACAUGAUAACUUGUUUUCUUUUCAUUAAAGAAUCUUGCAAAUGGGAAUGAAACAACUGUUCUCUGUACCUAAGGGAUGGAACAGAUGGAAAAGAGCUUAAAAGACAUAAGAAAGGCUCACAUUAGAAGAUAAACUCUCUAAACAAUAGGAAGUACAUCGCUUUCUGAGUUGCUGAAUGUUCAUUACCAAGGAUCUUCAGGAUUGAAUUAAGAACGGCACAGUCACGGUGUGGAGCAUGAAGGGACAAGGUGACAUCUCGAGAACACACCAAGGUAUUGCUCUGAGCCUCCCAUCCCAUUCCUGUUCCUGAGCUUUCUGUUGAAUUUAGAUUUCCUCAACCUGUAUAGUUCUGCUUUCUCACACACGUAUUAGUAAAUACAGAUUUAGGUAUCUUCUACUGCUGAGAAUAAUGGUAAAAUCAUUCUGUGGUAGUUUAAAGGACUGUAGGGUACUGUUUUGGUCUCCAUCUUCCAUGAGUUGGACACAUGAGCCCAACCCUGUAGUUUUGUUUUGACUUUAGAUUGAAUUAGAAGGGUGAAAUAAGAAAUGUAGGAAACCCACAGAGGCGGAUUUAAAGAUCCAUUUUGAGGUCUUCAAGUGAAAUAAAUAGGGAUCAGCCUACCUGGGUCACAGAGUGGGGCAUGCAUUAUGAGAGAAGCUGUAGUAAUAGCUCGAUAUUACAUUUUGAUCCUGAAAAUGUGCAUGACUAAUUUUAUACAUCUGGGUAAUCUGACAGAUUAAACAAUGUGGAGCUAAAGGUUUCCAGCCAUUAGUGUAACGCUGUUGAUGAUGAGCAAUAAAACAUGCUGAG
rnacentral:lncRNA from 1 species